rnacentral:lncRNA from 1 species
GUUCAGAUAUACCUAAAAUGGAAUUUGCGCUUUUUUGACUUUUGGAAUGAGUCAUAGCAUGAGUCUAAGUCAAUUAUGAAGAAAAUGUACGUGACAGACAAGAGCAGCCCAUGAAUCAAGGAAACGUCUCCUCUGAGCCACUCUCCUCUGAGACGAACACAGAAUCCUGGCUUGUGAAAAUGGCUAUGACGAGGCACUGUUUAUGCAUUUAGCCGUGGUUUUCACCUCGAGCUGUUCACUGCAGCCACUGGGGCAUCUUUUAAAAACUAUUGUUGCUGGGGUUCCGACUCAGACCAGUUGAGUUGGAACAACCAGGGCUGGGACACAAGCAUUACAUUUUAAAAGCUCCCCAGGUGACUCUAAUGGUUAGCCAGGGCUGAGAACCCCAGAUAAAGUGCUCGAUCAGAGCAAGGUACUCUGUAUAAUUGAACAUUUCUUGUCAUGGCCAACUGUGGAGGAAAACGGAGAUGGGGAGUACUUCUGUUUCCUCUUCAAGCUUCCAGAUCUCUCUUUAAGUAAUUCAUUUUAAAAUGUGAACUUGGAGAACUAAGCAAGAAGAUAGUUUCAUCUUACAGCACCAGAAAAUCUGAACAUCAGGAAUUCUUUAGGUUGCCUAUUACUAUGUGAUGUGGUCAAGUGGGGCAUUACAAUUCCGGGUUAUCAGGCCUUGUAAAUGGGACCAGUCGACAGAGGGAUGCUGAGAACUAAGCAAUGGACACCUGGACUCAGAGCAAAUGCAGGCCAAAAAGAAAAUGUGUUGGUUAGGGAAAGGCUGAUGAAUGUGUCAGGAAGGGAGGCUCAGGCGUUUAAAGAUCACGCGGCAACCGCUGGCAUGGGCACAGUAAAUCACUUUGGGGCCAGCCUUCACCUACCCUCCAAGUACCCGCUGCCCCCAAGUCUACUUGGCUGCCCUUUGUCCACUACCUUUAGCUUGUCUUUCUGGCGAAGGAUCCCAUUCCCCUCGCUCACCCUCUGAACCUUGC